UACGUAGGGUGCGAGCGUUAAUCGGAAUUACUGGGCGUAAAGCGUGCGCAGGCGGUGAUGUAAGACAGGUGUGAAAUCCCCGGGCUUAACCUGGGAACUGCAUUUGUGACUGGCGGACUCGAGUAUGGCAGAGGGGGGUAGAAUUCCACGUGUAGCAGUGAAAUGCGUAGAGAUGUGGAGGAAUACCGAUGGCGAAGGCAGCCCCCUGGGCCAAUACUGACGCUCAUG
rnacentral:rRNA from 1 species